AUUGAACGCUGGCGGCAGGCCUAACACAUGCAAGUCGAACGAGUGGCGGACGGGUGAGUAAUGUAUGGGAAACUGCCUGAUUGAGGGGGAUAACUACUGGAAACGGUGGCUAAUACCGCAUACCAUCGGAUGUGCCCAUAUGGGAUUAGCUAGUAGGUGGGGUAAAGGCUCACCUAGGCGACGAUCCCUAGCUGGUCUGAGAGGAUGACCAGCCACACUGGAACUGAGACACGGCCCAGACUCCUACGGGAGGCAGCAGUGGGGAAUAUUGCACAAUGGGCGCAAGCCUGAUGCAGCCAUGCCGCGUGUAUGAAGAAGGCCUUCGGGUUGUAAAGUACUUUCAGCGGGGAGGCGUUACCCGAAGAAGAAGCACCGGCUAACUCCGUGCCAGCAGCCGCGGUAAUUC
rnacentral:rRNA from 1 species